AUGAACGCUGGCGGCGUGCCUAAUACAUGCAAGUCGAGCGAACAGACGAGGAGCUUGCUCCUCUGACGUUAGCGGCGGACGGGUGAGUAACACGUGGAUAACCUACCUAUAAGACUGGGAUAACUUCGGGAAACCGGAGCUAAUACCGGAUAAUAUAUUGAACCGCAUGGUUCAAUAGUGAAAGACGGUUUUGCUGUCACUUAUAGAUGGAUCCGCGCCGCAUUAGCUAGUUGGUAAGGUAACGGCUUACCAAGGCAACGAUGCGUAGCCGACCUGAGAGGGUGAUCGGCCACACUGGAACUGAGACACGGUCCAGACUCCUACGGGAGGCAGCAGUAGGGAAUCUUCCGCAAUGGGCGAAAGCCUGACGGAGCAACGCCGCGUGAGUGAUGAAGGUCUUCGGAUCGUAAAACUCUGUUAUUAGGGAAGAACAAAUGUGUAAGUGACUAUGCACGUCUUGACGGUACCUAAUCAGAAAGCCACGGCUAACUACGUG
rnacentral:rRNA from 1 species